rnacentral:lncRNA from 1 species
UCAGGCCCGGAAUCGUCACGGCUCACAACUGUGGGAGAAACCAAGUUUUCUACAGCAGCAAGGAAAGAUGGGGGCCCUGGACCAAGGAGACAUCUGAACCAGGCCCAAUAUGGACUCCUGCUCAGUUGCUCCAAGAUGCUGGGGACACUCCAUAGCCAGCUUCUCCAGAUGGCCCCAUGGUCUUGGGGCACUUUCAGAUUCUCUUACUGAAGUCCAUCUUAGCUUAUGAAGGGGUAAUAUAGGUGUGAAUCCUUAGAAACCAUCCCGCUCUUCCUGAAUCUGAGAUUGUCAGUCCCCCUUUUACUCCCAUGGAUGUGGAAUAACAAUCUCCCUGUGGUCCCAUGUCUCGGUCCCUCUGCACUCACCCCCUCCUGCCAUCUCACUGUUGCCAUCUGCAGGGCCUGCUCCAGCCCAGCUGUAGCAGGAAGGCUGGGGGAGGAGGACAUGGACAAACCUGUCAUUGUCAUCCACACCAAGUGGACCCUAGCUCUGAGGUGAGCUGAGGUGCCACACUGAGAGCAGCUCCAAAGGUUCCCUACCCAGGCCUCUCAAUGUCUCCAGCUCAUGGGCCUGGAGUGGGGAUGGGGCAACACAUCAGAAACUUUGGAAUCUAAGUGUGUGGGAUGGGUAGGGGUGUGGUGUGUAUGCGGGGG